GGGGCGGGGAGGCCGAGCGGCAGGCCGCCGUAGGGCCCUAGCGCCCGCCUCCCGGCGCGGUGGCCCCCGCUCCCCCGCCGCUGCCCCGGGCCGCCCGCGGCGGAGAGGCGCUCGGGUGCGGCGCUGGUGCGUGGGCGCGGGGAGGGGGCGGCACCGGGCGGCGGCAGGAGCGGCUGCUCGAAGCUGAGGCGCCGGCGGCCUGCGCGGGGCCCGCUCCGAGCGGCGCGGCCAGAGGCCGGGAGGCGGCACCACGAGCGGUGCUGCCUGCCGGUGGCGAACGAGGCAUGUCGGAGGAUUGCAGAUGGAAAAUGCAAAGCCAGGGAAAGUUUUUUCAAGUACUCCAGAAUAAGGAAAUAAUACAGCCUGAAUGAAGUUGCCUGUGCCAUGUAAAUGCUCUGAAGUUCUGUCAUGGCGGAAGCUAGGUCUUCAGAAAUUAAAAGACCCCGCAUAAGCUUGUCACUCAGUACAAAUAAGAAAAAAAAAGGAUCAGCAAAAAAAGUGGAAGGUAAAGGAACACCAUCUAUACCUUCAGCGUCCUCCUCUAUUACUUCCUUUUUUAACAAUGUUCCCCCUGCCAAAAUUAUCUGUCCCAUGUGCGGGCAAAUGGUGCCCAGAUACAAAAUAAAUGAGCACAUGGAUGGAACAUGUCAGAGAAACCAUGGUGAGGCUGGUGUCAUUGAAUCAGCACUGAACCCCUCUAGGGGUAAGAGUUCCCCAGCUGAAAAUUUAAACAGUAAUUCCAGCAUAUAUUUUUCAAAAGAGUUCUUGAAUCAAGAAACAAGCCCUUCCAAAAGCAGUUCAUUGAAAGCAGAAGGGAGUGCAGCACAACAAAUUAGUCCUUAUUUUAACAAUAAUACUUCAGUUUGUAGUGUUGACAGUGAACCACAGGCUCAAACAGUUAAAAUAAUCUCUUUGGGAAGCUUGUCAUCUAAACUGUCCAGAAGACGUAUCCAGGGAGGAAAACAGGUUGUCUAUAGAGAGAUCGAUUCUUCACCUCCAGCUGUGAAUUAUAUGUGCAAACGUGCUGCAGCACAGAAUGAAGAUGAUGAGAUCUAUGCUGGACAUAGUUCUCAGAAAGAAAAUCAGCUUGCUCGGGGAGAGUGCCAAGAACAAAAUUUUUCAAAGGAGGAGCCUGAAUUUCAAGAAAUAGUAAACAAAUGUGGUGGAGAAGACCUUGCGGAUAGUGUUCGGGUAUCCUUACCGGCUGAUAACAUUAAGGGCAAAAGGUUACCAGUUGGUACAAGGAGCACUGAAACAGAACAUGGAUCUGAAGGUCCCGAUAAAUUUGAAACUGAUCUAGCUAUUUCUACUUCAGCAGAGAUGACCAGUAGUUUGGAAGUCAGGACUCAGCCUCACGCUCAGGUUAGUCUCUAUUCCAAGGCACAAGCGAGCUGCGGUACACAAAAUUGCUUUGGCAAGGGUGAUGUGCAGGUGCUUCCUGUGGAAGUUCAUGAAGACACUGAGGAUGAAAUAAAUCAUACUUUGUCAGAAACUGUACAAAAAGAAUUUCAAAAUUCCAUUGGGGACAUUUUAGACAAAAUAAAUAAUGUUUGCUCUGUGCCCAGCUCUCCUGGUCACCCAUAUUACCUCCAGAAUUUUUUAGUGGUUCUGCGAGCAGUCUUGGAGAACGAAGAUGAUGUCAGACUUUUCAACGAGCAAGAUAUGAACAUUAUAACCAAGUUCUGCAAAUUAUCAGUUGGUGGGCAGAAGUUGUAUGUGAGACUUUUUCAACGCAAGCUGAACUGGUUAAAGGUGAACAAAAUAGAGUAUGGAGAGAUAAGUACGGAUUUGUCACCGAUAAUUGAAGAACUGGCUGAAGCCAGGUUUCUGCAAACAGAAUCUGAACUGGAAGACCUGUGUGAAGGGUUGGAUUUGCUUUCAGCCCCUGAGCUAAAAACAUUAGCAAAGAUCUUUCACUUGCCAAACCCAAAUGGUCAGAAGCAGCAGCUUGUGGAUGAUUUUCUGAGGUUGGCAAAACAACGUUCAGUCUUCAGCAGGAAUCAGGCUGGUAUUGGGACAGUGAUUUUAACAAGGGUGAAGGACCUGGCUGGAAAAUCUGUCAGGGUCUGUAAAGGCCCUCGGGCUGUCUUUUCCCGAAUUCUGCUGCUAUUUUCACUGCCUGAGUCAGUGGAGGAUGAAGAAGCUGGUAGUGCUGGUCAAGGCCAGCUCUCCACAGUCCUUAUGGUAAACAUGGGGCGUAUGGUAUUCCCCAGUUACACUGUAAAUAGGAAAACACAGGUCUUCCAGGACAGAGAAGAUCUUAUCAGGUAUGCAACUGCUGCUCAUCUGUCAAAUGAUGUAGCCACUGCAAUGGUAAAUGGGAACUGGGAAGAAGCUAAUAAUCUAUAUAUGUAUGCUAAAGAAACCUGGAAUGGACUGAAAAAUCACCCAUCUUUGAGCUAUCACAGAGUUUUACCUGAGUAUCUGCGACGUUUCACAGUUGGCUGGGUUUAUACAAGAAUCCUUUCUCAAGGUGUUGAAAUUUUGCAGAGACUUCAUAUGUACAAGGAAGCAGUGCAGGAGCUGCAGGCUCUCCUGUCUCAGGAUGUGUAUUGUAGUGACAGCAGAGGCCGGUGGUGGGACCGCCUAGCUCUGAAUUUACAUCAGCACUUGAAGAACACUAAGAAGGCCAUUGACUGCAUCAGACGUGGGCUGGCAGACCCGUUUGUACGUACUGGGCAUCGUCUCUCUCUCUACCAGCGGGCCCUACGAAUCAGAGACUCGCCAAGCUGCAAGCAGUUCAGGUGCCUGUUCCAUGAUCUGCCUGUCAUAACUGUGGAGGAUGUGACACAUGUUACAAUCAAAGGAAAGCUGUGUCCUCAGACGGGAAUGGGAAAAUCUGUGUUUCUAAUGGAGGAUAUUGGUGAUGAAGAAGGAGGUGAAGACUUUGGUGUAUCCACAGUCAUGUGCUCAGUUGAGGAGCUGGCGUUAACCCAUUACAGGCAGAAUGGUUUUGAUCAGGGUAUUCAUGGGGAAGGCUCAACAUUCAUUACGCUGUACGGCAUUUUAAUGUGGGAUAUCAUUUUCAUGGACGACAUACCUGACGUCUUCAGAAACGCCUAUCAGACGUUCCCCCUGGAUUUAUACACCGACAGCUUCUACGAGAACAGGCGGGAUGUCAUUGAGGCCAGACUCCAGCAGCUUCGUACAGCUUCCUCAGAGACACUGGUGGAGCUGGUGGCUGACAUCUGGACCGCCCAGGAGGGAAGAGCAGCAGCACUAGUUAGCUGGGGGCGUUUUAUUUCCCUCCAGCAAGUGCAGAGCCUUGUCUCUUGCCUUGGAGGAAUGUUUCUGAGCGGGGUUUUUAGGCAACUUUCCAAAGAUCUACGCCAUUGCAGAGGGGGCCUUCCUGACCUGGUUGUGUGGCGUACUCACACUGAUCACUUCAAGCUGGUGGAAGUGAAAGGUCCCAACGAUCGCCUGUCCCACAAGCAGAUCAUCUGGCUGAGUGAACUGAAGAAGCUGGGUGCUGCAGUAGAAGUCUGUCACGUGCAAGCCGUCGGAGGCAAGAGUAAACGUCUCAGCUGACAGCAGAGGUCUUGCCCAUGUGGCUCGUAACUUAUGCUAGGAAAGGAAAGCCAGGGGUUUUGCCCAGUAAAGAGAAACAGCUGCAGUCAACGCUGGAACCAGCUGAGAACAUCCUCUGCAAUAAAACCCACGGCACAUCAAGCCCUCAUCAUCUCCGUGUUGCCUGUGCAGCCCGAGCUCCUGAUGUUGUGCACAUUUCCCUGCAAGUGUUUGAAAGGAUAAUGUAUUUAACAGCUCCUUCUGUUGUGAGUAUCUGUGCUAGCCGUACGAAAGGGAAGUAUUUGCAGUACCUGACCGGGGCACUGUGCUCAUUUGCAGUGUGUCACUCACAGACGUGGAUGUGUUUUGUCAUUCAGAAACAAGGCAGUCAACUGAAAUGGAACCAAAAGACAAGAGUUCUCUGUUAGACACCAGAAUCCUGUGGGUUUGCCUCUAUUUUAACACCCAACCAACAGCUGUUCUCUGGACUCUUCAUUCUCAUACUAAAUUAGCAGAAAUUCUGCUGACUGUACAAACAGCAGGCGCUGUAACAGAACGCAGGGAGGAAUCAAGAUCAUUUGCACAUCUUUUAUAUCAAUCACCUUUCUACAUCCAGCAGUGUCCCUGCUUUUCUUGGAAUCCACCCCCACCCCCCUGGGUUUUUUGUUAAGAGGAGGUGAAAGAAAAGCGCCUGAAGUUCGCUGUGGAAAGGUAUGAACUUUUAUUUAGUCUAAUUUACUUCACAUUCACAACUCAGCAUCAGGAUUUUAUAAUCUUCCUGGCACUGCUACUUUACUCAAUAAAUCAUUAUCAGGCACAAAGGUUUUAGUUUCAGUUGAAAUAGCAAACUCUAAACCAUCACAGCAACAGCAUUAGGAACCACCUGCCUACAGCAAUUUGAGGUACAGAUUUCUCUCUCUUACUUUAGAGGCAAAUUUAAGAUUUCAUCCUUUGCUUAAGUACACGUUAGAAAUUUUUUUUGGUUUUAAUGUCUUUC